rnacentral:rRNA from 1 species
GUGCCAGCAGCCGCGGUAAUACCGGCAGCCCGAGUGAUGGCCGAUCUUAUUGGGCCUAAAGCGUCCGUAGCUGGCCGCACAAGUCCAUCGGGAAAUCCACCUGCUCAACAGGUGGGCGUCCGGUGGAAACUGUGUGGCUUGGGACCGGAAGGCGCGACGGGUACGUCCGGGGUAGGAGUGAAAUCCCGUAAUCCCGAACGGACCACCGAUGGCGAAAGCAUCUCGAGAAAGCGGAUCCGACAGUGAGGGACGAAAGCUAGGGUCUCGAACCGGAUUAGAACCCGGUAGUCC